CUGGGAACUGCAUUUCGAACUGGCAAACUAGAGUGUGAUAGAGGGUGGUAGAAUUUCAGGUGUAGCGGUGAAAUGCGUAUAGAUCUGAAGGAAUACCGAUGGCGAAGGCAGCCACCUGGGUCAACACUGACGCUCAUGUACGAAAGCGUGGGGAGCAAACGGGAUUAGAUACCCCGGUAGUCCACGCCGUAAACGAUGUCUACUAUAAGCUCGGAACCUCGGUUCUGUUUUUCAAAGCUAACGCAUUAAGUAGACCGCCUGGGGAGUACGGCCGCAAGGUUAAAACUCAAAUGAAUUGACGGGGGCCCGCACAAGCGGUGGAGCAUGUGGUUUAAUUCGAUGCAACGCGAAGAACCUUACCUACACUUGACAUACAGAGAACUUUCUAGAGAUAGAUUGGUGCCUUCGGGAACUCUGAUACAGGUGCUGCAUGGCUGUCGUCAGCUCGUGUUGUGAGAUGUUGGGUUAAGUCCCGCAACGAGCGC
rnacentral:rRNA from 1 species